UUGCGGCCAUAUCACGUUGAAACACCGGUUCUCGUACGAUUACUGAAGUUAAACAACAUCGAGCAUGUUCACUACCUUCAUGAGUGACCGCUUGGGAAUACCAGGUGUAGUA